CCUUUUAAUUGGAGGCCUGCAUGAAUGGCUUGACGAGCGCCCUGCUGUCUCUCUUCCCAUGAACUUUUAAAUUAACUUUCGCGUGCAAAGGCGCGAAUGGCUGAGUUAGACGAAAAGACCCUAUGCAUCUUUACUGAGAGAGAAGAAAGUUCUUUAGCUUGGUUUAGCUGGGGCAGCUGAGGAAAAGGCAAAAUUUCCUUAAUAUAAAUCAUACUGGUGGGUUUAGAUCCAGGCUCUUUAGCGGGCUUGACAAGUAGAAAAGUUACGCUAGGGAUAACAGCGUUAUCCUUCUGUGGAGGUCUUAUCUGCAGGAGGGAUUGCGACCUCGAUGUUGAAUUAGGGAUAUACCAGAAAGGCGCAGAAGCUUUUAUUGUGGGUCUG
rnacentral:rRNA from 1 species